rnacentral:lncRNA from 1 species
AUUAAAGUGCCAUUUCCGCACGCAGAGCAGCAAGUUCAUCUUCCUCUUGCGUUUGUUUCUGAGGGCGAUUAGGUAAUUUGGCACUCGGAGCAUGCACUGAAGAAGUAGGGGCUGUCGUCGAUGGCUGGAGAAGUUGUUCUUCCAGUUCUGCACCUUCCAAUUCUUCGAGCUCAGCCUCCAAUUCAUCCUGUAGUAACCCCAAAAUAAAUAAAUCAAUAAAUUAAUAAAUAAAUAAAAAUCAGAUGAAUCAAUUUUGAAAACAUUGAUGCAAAUAAUUUCAGAUGCACAAUAAAUAUAGUCAAGACAAGAACCUCGUCAAAGUCAGCCGC